rnacentral:lncRNA from 1 species
CAGCAGAGAAAUGGGUAACGUUAAGCACAUUUAAUAACUCAUUCAAUAUAAAUAAUGUUAAAUCAGAAUGCUGUCAAACUACACUAGCAGCCACUAAGAAUGAAUCCUAUCUGUAAACAACUCAUGCAAAUCAGCUGAAUAUCACCCUUAACACAGGUUCUUAGUGUCAAAUAAAUUUCCAGAAGCAAAAAAAGUUAUAGUUAUCUAUUCCUUGUCAUUGUCUUUAAGUGUAUUCCUGAUCUCUGGUGUUUAAAUAAUUAGACAAAGUAUAUAUACAUACAAACAUACAUGCAAUAUCUUGACUGUAUUUUAAAAAAGAAAGGCAAUAAAGAAUUCUUAGGCUCAAAUGAAAGGGAAAUUGAGGACUGAAGGAAGAAAGCUGGUUGGAAUCUGCUUUUGUCCCAAAAGGAUUUGUUGAUCCAAGAAAAUUACUUUAUUUGUGUUGUCACCUUCACAAAGAAGGAGAGAGGGGACAGAAAUCAAAGCCUGGUGAGUAUAAGGUGGAAAGCUGAACAGGAAAUCCAGCUGAAUAGACUAUACUCUUAAGGUGAAGAUGAAUCAGAUAUAGUAUAUCCCACAUGGAUUUAUAUUCAGAUUUUAAUCUCCCAUGUUGUUUAGGGAUAUUUUAAAUCUUGAGAACAUAUUAAAGUAGUCCUGGAGGCUGUGACCAUGGUCUCCUAGCAGAAACAAAUGCCAAUCUUUGGAGAAAAAUAUUUCCAUUACAGACUUUCAUUUUACUUCUGAAGAUUUUUAUCAAAUACAUGGUGUAACACAUAGACAGUAAAGAUGAUUCACACAAGGAAAAUAAACUUUUUGAGCAAAACCCAGCAAAAAUAACAAACAAGAGCAACAAAUCUGCAUAGAAAUCAGACUUGGGAAAUGGUCAUCCCAGAUCUUACCAUAAUUACAAUGACACAUUUAAAGAACUAAGACACUUGCUAUAAAACUAUAAGCUCUAACAAUGUGACAUAGAAGAUUUGAAAACAAAAUAUAUUUUCUAGAAUCAAAAAUAUUGCAAUAAAUAACUCAUUAGACAAGUUGUAAAGGGGAACUAGAUAGAGUUAACAACAAAUUACUGAAUUUAAAAAUAAGUUAGGUGAAAAUAUUCUGAGACAAAAAUAUAGAAAAUACAGAAGGAGGAUAAAAGAGAGACUAUUGUGAGAAAGUCAAAGAAAAAGGUUACGCAAAGUCCAGAAGAAGAAGACAAUGGGGCGUUAUUAAGGCACUAUUUAAAAAAGAGAAUAGCUAAAAUUUUUACAAUACUAAUUAAAGACGUCAGUAUAAAUAUUCAAAAGCUCAGGAAAUCCCAAGCAGAUUGCAUAAAUUAAACGGUAGAUUUAAAUUCUAAUAUAUAAUGAAUUUUAUUAAAGACAAAUGUGCUACAUAUUCUAUGUAGAGUCACAGAUUGCCAAAUGGGGUUAUGAAAAAGAGAUAUAAAGCAUAAGAACACAGAACGACCAGAAGUUAAAGGAUAGAUAAAGAGGUUUCAUGAAAAUCCCCCCAAAAAGAAGCUGGAAUGGUGUCAGACAAGCAGAUCUUAGGAGAAAUAUUGGUAGAAUUAAAACACUUCAAAAUGACAAACAGGAAUCUAUCAACCAGGAAGAUAUCUCAACUUUAGUUUGUAGGCAGUAAGAGUAUAGCCUCAAAAUAUAUUAAUCAAAAUUGAUAGAAAUAGACAAACCUACCUUUACGUGGAUGAUUUUAAUACACUUCUCUCAAUAACUAAUAGUAAAAUCAGACAAAAAGGAGGCAAUUAAGUGUGUAAAAAAUUUGAAGAGCAUAAUUAGCAAUGUGUACUUUAGGAACAUUGUUCAAAAUUGACUGAAUACCAGGUCAUAAAAUAAUUAUCAGCAAUAUCAAAGUAUAGAAAAUUACAUAGGGUGUGUUCUAAACUGUAACAUAGCAAGGGGUUCCCAUUGUGGCUCAGUGGAAAGGAAUCGGACUAUUACACAUGAGGACUCACGUUCCAUCCUUGGUCUCACUCAGUGGGCUAAGGAUCCAGCAUUGCCAUGAGCUGUGGUGUGGGUCGCAGAUGUGGCUCAGAGCCCUCAUUGCUGUGGCUGUGGUGUAGGCCAGUGGCUACAGUUCCAAUUUCACCCCUAACCUGGAAAACUCCAUAUGCUGUGGUUGCAGCCCUAAAAAAGACAAUAAUUUUUUUAAAUUAAAAAAUGAAUAAAACAUAGCAAAAGACCCUGAUAAAUUUAGAAAUUAAUAUGAUUCAUUGCUAUUUCUAUUCUGAUUAGUCAAGGCAAAAUCAUUGGAAAAUCCACUACUCUCGGGAUCUUAACAAUAAUUUUUGCUAAAUAUCGGAAAAUCACAAGCUUAGAAAUUUAAAAAUACACUUUAAAAAAAAGUAGAUAAAAAAAUUACAGUGGAAAUUAGAAAAUACUUUAAACUAAAAAAUAAUGAAAAGUAUAGGUCUUAACUCAGUAUUUAUUAGGCACAAUGAUACUCAUUCUUUUUCUUUUUCUUUUUUUUUAUUUAUUUUUGCUUUUUAGGGCUGCACCCAUGGCAUAUGGAGGUUCCCAGGCUAGGGGUUGAAUUGGAGCUGUAGCUGCCAGCCUACACCAUAGCAGCAGCAAUGCCAGAUCUGAGCAGAGUCUGCGACCUACACCACAGCUCACGGCAAGCCCAGAUCCAUAACCCACUGAGCAAGGCCAGGAAUCGAACCUGCGUCCUCAUGACUGCUGGUCAGAUUCAUUUCUGCUGAACCACAACAGGAACUCCCUCAUUCUUUUUCUCUUUAACCUCUGUUUCCCUGAUGUUUCAAUAUCUCCAAGUAUUAUUUUAAAUGAUACAUUCAGUAUUCCUCUCUUCUCACAUCUAAAAAAAAGAGUCUGUAAAUUUUGCCUAUUUUUUAAGUGACCCUUAACUGUGCCUCCUAAAUCUGCUUCCUUCUCUUCAUCCUCACAGCCACUUUCUAAUUCAGGCCACCAUCAUCAUCAUCUCUCCUAGAUCACUGCAGCAGCUUCUUAUGCCUGCUUUCUAACCCUGUGUUGUCCAUUGCCAAGCAGAGUGAUUAUUUCUUAAAUUAAACCUAAUCAUGUCACUUCCCUGCUUUUCAAAGAAAAGUAGAGAAAAGAAAGCAAAAAAAAAAUGUUGACUUUUUUCUGCUUUUCCCAUGGGAUGUAAAACAUCUCUCUUUAAUCUGUCAAGUAAACUGAUAUAUAAAUAUAUAUAUUUAUAGUUUGACCUUAUAAGGCCAUGAAUAUAUACAUAUAUAUAUUUAUGUAUUUAUUUAUCUAUAUCUUUUGAGAGAGAGAAAGAGAAAGAAACUAACAUGACGGUAUAUGAUGAUUUCUAUUGUAUUAAUUUAUCUUUUUUAAAAUUCUUAAAUUAGCACAUAACUUUUACAAUCAGGGAAAUACAAAUAUUAACUCUCAAAAAUAACUCAGUCGAAUAUCACUUCUACAGACAACUCCUAUCUAAUCACUCAGUCUGAUGGAAAGCCUCAUUUUCUCUGAUCCGUAGCAUACCUCCAUAUAUUUAAACCACAACUGUGAGCUUGUUGGUCUGGCCUCAAAGAUUUGUUAGCUCUUUGAGGAAAGGGGUCUUCCCUUAUUUUUGUGUGUUCUCAUUAUUCUGUGCAGGACUUCAUUACAUAAGCAGGCCUAUGUCUCUUGAUAAUAUGUGUUAAUUUCUCCAGCAGGUAAGCCAGUGCACUUUUAGAGCUUUCUUUCAUUUUCCUUUAAUUUUGCUAUAUCACUUAACAAAUAAAUAUUUAUUUUUAUAUACCCAAAUUCUGAUCCUCGUGCUAUUCAUAAAAUCCCUUAUUUUUAUGUCUUCCCAUUAUGGUAUAAAUUAGGUGAUUUAUAUGGAUAUUUUAUGUCACUCAAAUCUCUAAUUGUAAUAAUUUGAAUUGUAUAACAAGAGUAAUUCAUAUUCAUUGUAGGGAAAAAAAGCAAAUGUAUUCCACUUUGAAAAGAAAAAAAUCAUAGUUAUUAUUUUUUAUAUGUUCUUCCACAUUUUUCCUGACUCAAUAGAUAUUUAUAUGCUUAUUUAGUUAGUUAAUUAACUACUACAAAGUUAGAAUAUAAAUGUUAUUUUCCUAUCAACAAUAUUUAAUGGUAAAUUUUUACAGCAUCAUUUUAGUGGUUCUAUAGUAUUCCCUAUUAUGUUGAAUGUUAAUAUUUUGUCUAUGUUUUUACUCUUCUGAAAAAUGUAGUUUUGUAUAUAAUUUUGUACACAUAUUCACAAGUGUUUCCUUAGAAUAAAUUCCUAGAAAUAAAAUUGUUAAUUACAAAUGGGCAGAUAUGUUUUAAAUCUUUUUCCUAAUGAAUAGUUUAAUCACUAAAAGUAUUGAAUUCUUAGACUCAUUUUCAGCAUUGGUAGAAAAUACUGGUCACUUUCAACAAUUAUGUGAGCUAAUUGGCAAGAGGUAAAAAAUUCUGAUAUUUAGAAGCUCCCUUCGUGGCUCAGUGGUAAUGACCCUGACUAGUAUCCAUGAGGACAUGGAUCCCUGGCCUCUCAGUAGGUUAAGGAUCUGGCAUUGCCGUGAGCUGUGGUGUAGGUCACAGGCACGGCUUGGAUCUCAUGUUGCUGUGGCUGUGGCACAGGCUGAAAGCUGCAGCUCCAAUUUGAUCCCUAGCCCAGGAAUUUCCAUAUGCCGUACCUGUGACUAUAAAAAGCAAAAAAACAGUAAUGGUAAUAAUUCUGAUAUUUAAAUUCUGUUUAGAAUGAGCAAUAUUAAGUUGCCUUUUAAAUUCUCAAAAUCUAGUCAGAGCAAGUCUGAAAACAGCACAAAUAGUUUCAGCAAUUAAAUACGGUCCGUUGAUAUGUAAAAGAUGGUAGGUCCACAUGAAGAGCUCUAAAAUAAAUCACAAUUACAUGGUACUAUAAAUGCAUCCACUAAGUGUAGGAACACACUUAGGUGCCUAAUUAUAUGGGAAAUGUAAUCACAUCCCAGGCAGGAACCUAAGCCACAAAACCUGUUCCUACUUGAGCCAUUGUGUUCUAUAAACCCUAGGAUUCCACAGUGGUUUCAGGGCUUUCCAGACUUUCUACAAAUUUGUCCCAGUUUUUACUUUAUAUCUCUCUCCUUAAUGCCCA